rnacentral:rRNA from 1 species
GAUGAACGCUGGCGGCGUGCCUAAUACAUGCAAGUCGAGCGAACAGAUAAGGAGCUUGCUUCUUUGACGUUAGCGGCGGACGGGUGAGUAACACGUGGAUAACCUACCUAUAAGACUGGGAUAACUUCGGGAAACCGGAGCUAAUACCGGAUAACAUAUUGAACCGCAUGGUUCAAUAGUGAAAGGCGGCUUUGCUGUCACUUAUAGAUGGAUCCGCGCCGUAUUAGCUAGUUGGUAAGGUAACGGCUUACCAAGGCAACGAUACGUAGCCGACCUGAGAGGGUGAUCGGCCACACUGGAACUGAGACACGGUCCAGACUCCUACGGGAGGCAGCAGUAGGGAAUCUUCCGCAAUGGGCGAAAGCCUGACGGAGCAACGCCGCGUGAGUGAUGAAGGUCUUCGGAUCGUAAAACUCUGUUAUCAGGGAAGAACAAAUGUGUAAGUAACUGUGCACAUCUUGACGGUACCUGAUCAGAAAGCCACGGCUAACUACGUG